rfam:Schistosoma curassoni strain Dakar, Senegal genome assembly, scaffold: SCTD_contig0000734
AUCCGACUGACGAGUCCUAAAUAGGACGAAACGCGCGUUUGGGAU